UACGUAGGGGGCAAGCGUUGUCCGGAUUUAUUGGGCGUAAAGAGCUCGUAGGCGGUCUGUCGCGUCGGUCGUGAAAACCUGCAGCUUAACUGUGGGCGUGCGGUCGAUACGGGCAUGACUGGAGUUCGGCAGGGGAGACUGGAAUUCCUGGUGUAGCGGUGAAAUGCGCAGAUAUCAGGAGGAACACCGGUGGCGAAGGCGGGUCUCUGGGCCGAUACUGACGCUGAGGAGCGAAAGCGUGGGGAGCGAACAGG
rnacentral:rRNA from 1 species